rnacentral:rRNA from 1 species
CCUACGGGAGGCAGCAGUGGGGAAUUUUGGACAAUGGGCGAAAGCCUGAUCCAGCAAUGCCGCGUGAGUGAAGAAGGCCUUCGGGUUGUAAAGCUCUUUUGUCAGGGAAGAAACGGUGAGAGCUAAUAUCUUUUGCUAAUGACGGUACCUGAAGAAUAAGCACCGGCUAACUACGUGCCAGCAGCCGCGGUAAUACGUAGGGUGCAAGCGUUAAUCGGAAUUACUGGGCGUAAAGCGUGCGCAGGCGGUUUUGUAAGUCUGAUGUGAAAUCCCCGGGCUCAACCUGGGAAUUGCAUUGGAGACUGCAAGGCUAGAAUCUGGCAGAGGGGGGUAGAAUUCCACGUGUAGCAGUGAAAUGCGUAGAUAUGUGGAGGAACACCGAUGGCGAAGGCAGCCCCCUGGGUCAAGAUUGACGCUCAUGCACGAAAGCGUGGGGAGCAAACAGGAUUAGAUACCCUGGUAGUCCACGCCCUAAACGAUGUCUACUAGUUGUCGGGUCUUAAUUGAUGUACGACGNGCGUACGCGUGAGUAGACCGCCGUCGGGGUGGUACGGUUCGCGAGAGUUAAACGUUAACGAAGAGUUAGACGGCGNGAGACGNGCGACGGACGACGACGAGGGAGGAGG